GGCAGUGAUAGCUCAGUGGUUAAGCUAUUGGACUACUGAUUGGAAAGUGGUGAGUUCAAAUCCCCCCACUGCUA